rnacentral:rRNA from 1 species
GAUGAACGCUAGCGGCAGGCUUAAUACAUGCAAGUCGAGGGGCAUCAAGGUACACGAAAGUGUAUUGUUGGCGACCGGCGGACGGGUGAGUAAUAGGUAGGUAACCUACCUCAUACUGAGGCAUAGCUGGGAGAAAUUCCAGGUAAUUCCUCAUGAGGUUAUAUGACACAUGUGAUAUAAUCAAAGGUAUCGCAAGGUACUGGUAUGAGAUGGGCUUACUGACCAUUAGCUAGUUGGUGAGAUAAGAGCUCACCAAGGCGAAGAUGGUUAGGGGUUUUGAGAGAGAGAUCCCCCACAUUGGAACUGAGAUACGGUCCAGACUCCUACGGGAGGCAGCAGUAGGGAAUAUUGGGCAAUGGGCGGAAGCCUGACCCAGCCAUGCCGCGUGAAGGAAGACGGCCUUAUGGGUUGUAAACUUCUUUACUAUGCGACUAACUAGAUUUACGAGAUAAUUCUAUAGAAUGUAGCAUAGACAAAAGCACC